ACUUCACGCGACGACGGGUAGCCGGCCUGAGAGGGUGACCGGCCACAUUGGGACUGAGACACGGCCCAGACUCCUACGGGAGGCAGCAGUGGGGAAUAUUGCACAAUGGGCGAAAGCCUGAUGCAGCGACGCCGCGUGAGGGAUGACGGCCUUCGGGUUGUAAACCUCUUUCACCAGGGACGAAGCGUAAGUGACGGUACCUGCAGAAGAAGCACCGGCUAACUACGUGCAGCCAGCCGCGGG
rnacentral:rRNA from 1 species